rnacentral:rRNA from 2 species
GUCGAGCGAAUGGAUUAAGAGCUUGCUCUUAUGAAGUUAGCGGCGGACGGGUGAGUAACACGUGGGUAACCUGCCCAUAAGACUGGGAUAACUCCGGGAAACCGGGGCUAAUACCGGAUAACAUUUUGAACCGCAUGGUUCGAAAUUGAAAGGCGGCUUCGGCUGUCACUUAUGGAUGGACCCGCGUCGCAUUAGCUAGUUGGUGAGGUAACGGCUCACCAAGGCAACGAUGCGUAGCCGACCUGAGAGGGUGAUCGGCCACACUGGGACUGAGACACGGCCCAGACUCCUACGGGAGGCAGCAGUAGGGAAUCUUCCGCAAUGGACGAAAGUCUGACGGAGCAACGCCGCGUGAGUGAUGAAGGCUUUCGGGUCGUAAAACUCUGUUGUUAGGGAAGAACAAGUGCUAGUUGAAUAAGCUGGCACCUUGACGGUACCUAACCAGAAAGCCACGGCUAACUACGUGCCAGCAGCCGCGGUAAUACGUAGGUGGCAAGCGUUAUCCGGAAUUAUUGGGCGUAAAGCGCGCGCAGGUGGUUUCUUAAGUCUGAUGUGAAAGCCCACGGCUCAACCGUGGAGGGUCAUUGGAAA